rnacentral:tRNA from 1 species
GGGGAGAUUCCCGAGUGGCCAAAGGGGGCAGACUGUAAAUCUGUUGCGUUUCGCUUCGAUGGUUCGAAUCCAUCUCUCCCCACCA